UCCUUAUCAUGCAUCAAUGUCUGUUUAAACAGUAGAAAUGCUGUUAUGUGGAGCUGAUUGGGUUUGAGUACUUCAUGGUUUGAAAAAAUCAUCAAGUAGAGAAGAACCAACUUAUAAAGAGAUUUUAUUGCCCUAACAUGAAUUGCUGGUUGAUGGGGAUUGGCUUCUGGCUGGUUUUUUUUUUUUUUU